rnacentral:ncRNA from 1 species
CGGUCUGGGAAUACAUAAGUAUUCCCGGAGGAUCUAUAGGAUGGUCGGGCCGCCAUCU